UACCUUCCUUCUCUCUUUUACUCCCUAGUCAUGUGUUUGCUGCACCAGGCUUGGCACCAUGACCCAUGACACUGGGGUCUCAGCACAAGUCCAGAAGUAUAGGAUCAAAGUCUCAGACACUUCUAAGUCUUGCAGAUUAAAUGUUUCCUCCAUGUAAGUUGGCUAACUCGGGUCUUUGUUGCAGUCAUAGACACUAACAAACCAUGAAACCAUCUCUUUGUCACAGCAAAGAGUGACAUUUUCUGUCUCCUUCCCAGGGAAACGCUGGAAAGGAAAACAAAUGAAUGAAUGCUGCUUAGUCACAACCCUGGGGGAAAUUGGAGGUGCCACUACAUGGAAAGUCAACAAAGAGUCUUCAGCCAUCUUCUCCAUUACACUAUCAUUUAUUUCUACCAGAGGCAGUGGAUUAAGAGGACAGUAGGAGUACGGAGGAAAAGAAUCUGCAACAGGACUGCUGCAUUUCCCAGGUAGAAGAUGGACAGAAGCCACACACCCCCAGAAGCUUCAAAAACAACAAAGAUUACAGCCACCAUUAGUACCAUCUCAUUCUUCUAGGGAAACAGUCACUCACCAAUUCAUCUGACAAAUGGAAAAAACUUUAUUGAAUGACCACAUCAUGAGCCACCCCACUGAGCACAGCACACACAGGCUCCUUCAGGGCAGUUACCACCCUUGCAAUAGAGCAUCGCUUGCUUCAAGUAUCCAUAGAACUGUUUCAUAUGAAGACUUUUUCAUCCAUCACUCAUUUCUCACCUGAGAAUUUUUUCUUGACUAUAGGUAGUUGGCAUAUCCAGUAGCUAUGUGGAUCAAAGACUACUGACAAUAAAUCAUAAGGAUGUUUAUUUAAAAACA
rnacentral:lncRNA from 1 species